GGUCUACUCUGAGGAGGGGGCUGAGGACAGGACAUUUGCCCGGGUUAUUGUUGGCAGCUCCUCGGAGUACAAGAUCAACAACCGGGUGGUGCAGCUGAGCGAGUACAGCGAGGAGCUGGAGAAGUUGGGGAUCCUCAUCAAGGCCCGAAACUUCCUCGUCUUCCAGGGAGCCGUGGAGUCCAUGGC